rnacentral:rRNA from 1 species
CAGCAGCCACGGUAAUACGUAGGUGGCAAGCGUUGUCCGGAAUUAUUGGGCGUAAAGCGCGCGCAGGCGGAUCAGUCAGUCUGUCUUAAAAGUUCGGGGCUUAACCCCGUGAUGGGAUGGAAACUGCUGAUCUAGAGUAUGGGAGAGGAAAGUGGAAUUCCUAGUGUAGCGGUGAAAUGCGUAGAUAUUAGGAAGAACACCAGUGGCGAAGGCGACUUUCUGGACGAAAACUGACGCUGAGGCGCGAAAGCCAGGGGAGCGAAUGGGAUUAGAUACCCCUGUAGUCCCUGUCUCUUAUACC